UACGAAGGGGGCUAGCGUUGUUCGGAUUUACUGGGCGUAAAGCGCACGUAGGCGGAUUGUUAAGUCAGGGGUGAAAUGCCAAGGCUCAACCUUGGAACUGCCUUUGAUACUGGAGAUCUUGAGUCCGGGAGAGGUGAGUGGAACUGCGAGUGUAGAGGUGAAAUUCGUAGAUAUUCGCAAGAACACCAGUGGCGAAGGCGGCUCACUGGCCCGGAACUGACGCUGAGGCGCGACAGCGUGGGGAGCAAACAGGG
rnacentral:rRNA from 1 species